rnacentral:rRNA from 1 species
UAGGGAAUCUUCGGCAAUGGACGAAAGUCUGACCGAGCAACGCCGCGUGAGUGAAGAAGGUUUUCGGAUCGUAAAACUCUGUUGUUAGAGAAGAACAAGGACGUUAGUAACUGAACGUCCCCUGACGGUAUCUAACCAGAAAGCCACGGCUAACUACGUGCCAGCAGCCGCGGUAAUACGUAGGUGGCAAGCGUUGUCCGGAUUUAUUGGGCGUAAAGCGAGCGCAGGCGGUUUCUUAAGUCUGAUGUGAAAGCCCCCGGCUCAACCGGGGAGGGUCAUUGGAAGCUGGGAGACUUGAGUGCAGAAGAGGAGAGUGGAAUUCCAUGUGUAGCGGUGAAAUGCGUAGAUAUAUGGGGGAACACCAGUGGCGAAGGCGGCUCUCUGGUCUGUAACUGGCGCUGAGGCUCGAAAGCGUGGGGAGCAAACAGG